CCUACGGGUGGCAGCAGUGAGGAAUAUUGGUCAAUGGGCGCGAGCCUGAACCAGCCAAGUAGCGUGAAGGAUGACUGCCCUACGGGUUGUAAACUUCUUUUAUAAAGGAAUAAAGUGAGGCACGUGUGCCUUUUUGUAUGUACUUUAUGAAUAAGGAUCGGCUAAUUCCGUGCCAGCAGCCGCGGUAAUACGGAGGGUCCGAGCGUUAUCCGGAUUUAUUGGGUUUAAAGGGAGCGUAGAUGGGUUGUUAAGUCAGUGGUGAAAUGUUGCGGCUCAACCGUAAAAUUGCAAUUGAUACUGGCAGGCUUGAGUACAGUUAAGGUAGGCGGAAUUCGUGGUGUAGCGGUGAAAGGCUUAGAUAUCACGAAGAACUCCGAUUGCGAAGGCAGCAUACUAAACUGCCACUGACAUUGAUGCUCGAAAGUGUGGGUAUCAAACAGGAUUAGAUACCCUAGUAGUC
rnacentral:rRNA from 1 species